GAUGAACGCUGGCGGCGUGCCUAAUACAUGCAAGUCGAGCGAACAGACGAGGAGCUUGCUCCUCUGACGUUAGCGGCGGACGGGUGAGUAACACGUGGAUAACCUACCUAUAAGACUGGGAUAACUUCGGGAAACCGGAGCUAAUACCGGAUAAUAUAUUGAACCGCAUGGUUCAAUAGUGAAAGACGGUUUUGCUGUCACUUAUAGAUGGAUCCGCGCCGCAUUAGCUAGUUGGUAAGGUAACGGCUUACCAAGGCAACGAUGCGUAGCCGACCUGAGAGGGUGAUCGGCCACACGGGAACUGAGACACGGUCCAGACUCCUAAGGGAGGCAGCAGUAGGGAAUCUUCCGCAAUGGGCGAAAGCGUGACGGAGCAACGCCGCGUGAGUGAUGAAGGUCUUCGGAUCGUAAAACUCUGUUAUUAGGGAAGAACAAAUGUGUAAGUAACUAUGCACGUCUUGACGGUACCUAAUCAGAAAGCCACGGCUAACUACGUG
rnacentral:rRNA from 1 species